rnacentral:rRNA from 1 species
CGUUCCCGGGCUUGUACACACCGCCCGUCACACCACGAAAGUCGGCAAUACCCGAAGCCGGUGGCCUAACCCGCAAGGGAGGGAGCCGUCGAAGGGUAGGGGUCGAGUGAUUGGGGUG